CAAUUACUCUCUCCAUCCCAAAAUUCUUGUCUUAGAUUUGUCUAGAUACAGAUGUAUCUAAUACUAAAACGUGACUUGAUACAUCUGUAUUUAGACAAAUCUAAGACAAGAAUUUUGGGACAGAGGGAGUACAUU
rnacentral:pre_miRNA from 1 species